rnacentral:lncRNA from 1 species
UUCUGGGGGGUGUGCCUGGGAGGGUCCUUACUAGCCCUUGGUCACAAGUGGGUGCAGCCAGUGGGGCAGAGCUGGGCUCAGUCCUAGGUGCUCUGCUCUCUGCACAUCUCUACACCGGCAGCCCCAAGGCGGCAGGGGGUGUGGCCAAGUUCCACCUGACCAGACUAUGCCCCACCCCUUCCCCCAAUGGACCCCAUGUUUCUGUGCGCAUGCGCAAGCAGUCACAUGCGUUACACUUCCCACCCUGUGCCUCAGUCCAUCUUCAAGGAGCGGCCUUCUGGCUUGGACCCUGAGAGAUGGUUCUCUGGUGGCUGGAGCCUGAGGACUGGCCACUUUCACUCUCCUCUCUGCCCCAGGGACCCUGCCGCUGCUCCACUCUCCAACUCACUUGGUCAGAGCCAGUCCCUCAGUGGUUUGGGGCCCGAGGACUCACCCUUCCCCCACCACUCCAGACCACCAUCCUCCAGGAUGCCAGACACCUAGCACUGGAGGCUCCUACCUGGGACAUCUGGCUGCCACACUUCCAGGACUCCAGGACACACUGCCUAGGACUCCGGACGCCCACCCAGGAUGCCCAGCUGACCAUGCCCAAGGCCUUCCUGUAACUUGACCAGCAGAAUUUAUGAGGCCCAGCAGGUAAGGAGGGCUACAGAAGUGAGAAGUGUCACCAUCGAUUGGAGGAAAGGGGAGGGCUGGCUGGGCAGAGGUUACCCAAUGCACCAGAAAACCAGGGUUGGAUAUAGAGUCAGGGUUGAAAUUGAUGUUGAGGUUUGUGUUACUUGGCAUCCGGUUCGGACUGGUUAGGUGAUUGAUAAUGUUUUGUCAAGAAAUCAGUGGGAUUUUCAAAAGAUAUUGCACUCCUUAAUCAUUUUCACUUUCACCACUUACCCUGCCUGGGAGAAAUAUUCUCUUUCCAUUCAGAUCCAGUUUUCUGUAUCUUCAACUCAUUCGAGGACUGUUUCUUUGACUUUUUUUCUUUCUUUUUUUUUUUGGUACAAGGGAUGGAACUGC